UUCGUUAAAGACCUCGGGAUAGUUUUGGACCUUAAGGCCCAAUGGGCUUCGAAUGUCAAGCCCAUUGACUUAAGUUGUAUGACAAUUUAAUGAAUAAAGAUUCACAAAGGCCCAAAAGCCCAAAUCCCUUAUGUGGCCGGCCAUGUGUGUUGAAUUAGGGUUUUUGGUUCUUUAGGUCAUUUAAAGAAGUGACUAUAUAAAGAACUUUAUAGCCUAAAAUUCAUUAAGGGUUUCUUUUAGGAAAUUGGAGAGAACACAAAGCUCUCUUUUCUCUCUAAAGAGGCCGGCCCCCUUGGAGGGAUUAGCUAGCAAUCCCACUCCUCCAAGGUCACUCAUUUCUUCAUCAAUUUUACCUUGGUGUAGAGACUUAGAGGUUCUCAAUUUUGGGAACUUGGAGAACCAUAUUCUUCCAUCCAAAUCCAUGGAUCUAAGAAGCAAGGAAUGAAGGCCCUCUCUUUGGGUGAUUAGCCUUUGCUUAUGCAAAGAGGAAUCUACAAAGGUAUAAAUCUCAACUCACUUUGUUUUGAGUUGAUUCUUGGUUCACCAAUCUACUAGGCUUUGAAUUUCAUGGGUAAUGUUUUGUUUUUUAAUGCAUGCAAGCAUGAUUCCGCCUUUUAAUUGUUAAAUGCAUGCUAUAGAUGUUAUUCAAAUGAACAUGUUUUCACAAAAUCAUCCUUUCAAGUGGUAUCAGAGCCUAGGUCUGUGAAUCCUUUUGCGUUUUGUGGUUCAUAGUUUUUGAUUUAAAAGUUGUAAUAUGUUACAAGCUUUAUUCUUGUUUCUUUGAAUGUAAAUUUUCUUAGAAAAUUUGCCAUAUCAAAUGUUGUAGAUGUAGUUCUUAUGAGCAUGAAUAUUGGAGCUAAAAUUUGGUGCCAUGUUUUUGGGAAUUUUCGGCCAAAUCCAAAGGGUGGAUUUUUGGGUUCUUGUUUGACUUGUUAAAAGUGUUUUCAAGUAACUUUUAGAACCCCUAUGUACCCUAGUUUGGUUAUAUGUUAUUUCCCUAAAGUUUGAAUGGUUUUGGGAUGUUUUUUGGAGUAAAAAUGUUCAUGGAAAUUUUUGGGUUUUUCAUGAAUGUUCUUCAUUGUUCUUGACAUUUUUGCCAAGAACAAAAAGUUUUGUGUUUUGAUUUAUUUCAUAAAGUUUAUGUUUUAUGUUUUUCAAAUGAUUUAGUGUGUUAGAUAUUUGUUUAAAUGGUGGUAGAAAUAAUGGUGGGUGUGAAAGGAUUAAUUCCCUUUCACACACACCACUUGCACCUUGCUUGCUUUAUGUCAAAACUCACAAAUCAACACACACAUCACUCCUUUCCCUCUCCAAAACCGGCCACUCCCUCAAUGGGAGUACUUUGGGGAUUUUAUGCAAUUACAUAAAGUUUUGAUACUUUUGUGUAUUUGCACUUUGGCCCAAAAGUUUACGUUUUUACGUUU
rnacentral:lncRNA from 1 species